GCCCCUGACUGUUUCUAAUUUUUUAAUUUGAGGUUCUAAGUUUUGUAUUUUAUGUAUGAAUCAUGUCUUUCUCAGUCUGUCUCAGUUUUUCUCUUGAUUAUCAAAGACAAAGUUUUUAAUUUUGUAAAUCAUUUGGCCUUUAAUUUUUUUUUUUAUUGGAGAUCAAUCAAGUUACUUAUGAGUCUUUUGCAGACAAAUUCCUGUCUGACCUAAACACAAUUAUCAGAGUAUUUGUCAUUUAUGUGUUAAUAUGGCUUGAUUUAUUAAGGUCUAGAUAGGGGUUAUGCAUACCCGUAGCCAGGGGGGUUCAGAUGAACCCCCCUUGAAACCAAAUAAGCACUGUUAAAGUCAACGUUCUGUUCAAAUUGUGACUGUUAAAGUUGAGUUCAUGAGUCCAAAUAACCCCCCAUUGGAAAUUCCUGGCUACGGGCCUGUUAUGUAUACAAUUUUUACAUGUAUCUUUAUUCUUUAAUACAUGUAUAUUAGAUUGUUUUUUUUUAAUCUCUAUUCUUUACAUAAAUUUCAUUUCAGCACUUAUUCUCUAAUAUUUAUUUAGUUUUAGUUUUCCUUCUUUUCCCUAUUUAUUACUUUUUUUUCCUUUAUUCUGUACAUUUU
rnacentral:lncRNA from 1 species